UUCGGCUGUUUGCUUGGCUUAUAUUAGCCUUGUGGGUGGCUGUUUCCUGGUGUGGCUUCGGGGAUGUUUAUCGUAAAGGUGCAUGAGUGGUAUUUGGUUUGAUACGGGUGGUCGGCUCCCUGCUUGAGCAGGCACGACCAUGCGUACAUUCCUUUUCAGUUGUAUGACAAGGCUUGUAUCGUCUAGAUUGUACAUGUGGGUUUUUUGUGUUGCAUACCUGAUCAAUGGCAUCGUUUUUUGAGAAAUAAAAAUGUACGCUUUUCGUUGGGCAUUGCACUUGUAAUGCUUGAUGAACCAUGUUAGCAUCUUCUUUGAUCCAAAUUGUCAAUGAGCAUUUGUUGAUGGUUUGGCCCAUUGAAGGUGGCUUGUAUCUUGGAUAUUGAAGCCAAAAUGGGCAUGGGUUUUAUGAUCCUUGUAUUGCCCUCGUUGAGCGUUCUUGCUUCUCUUACACGACGGCCUCUCACGUAUGGCACGUCCCAGCGUGAUUGGUUGUGUCGAAGAGGAA
rnacentral:misc_RNA from 1 species